GUUGUAUAGUCAAGUAAUUAAGUGCAUGUGGUGGAUGCCUUGGCAGUCAGAGGCGAUGAAAGACGUGAUAGCCUGCGAAAAGCUCCGGGGAGGCGGCAAAUAUCCUUUGAUCCGGAGAUGUCUGAAUGGGGGAACCCACCUACUUUAAGGUAGGUAUUGCAACAUGAAUACAUAGUGUUGCAAGGCGAACGAGGGGAAGUGAAACAUCUCAGUACCCUUAGGAAAAGAAAUCAAUUGAGAUUCCCUCAGUAGCGGCGAGCGAACGGGGAUCAGCCCAUUAAGUUAUGUGUGUUUUAGUGGAACGCUCUGGGAAGUGCGAACGUAGAGGGUGAUAUUCCCGUACACGAAAGGGCACACAUAAUGAUGACGAGUAGGGCGAGGCACGUGAAACCUUGUCUGAAUAUGGGGGGACCAUCCUCCAAGGCUAAAUACUCCUGACUGACCGAUAGUGAACCAGUACCGUGAGGGAAAGGCGAAAAGAACCCCUGUGAGGGGAGUGAAAUAGAUCCUGAAACCGCAUGCAUACAAGCAGUGGGAGCACCUUCGUGGUGUGACUGCGUACCUUUUGUAUAAUGGGUCAGCGACUUAUAUUCAGUAGCGAGGUUAACCGUAUAGGGGAGCCGUAGAGAAAUCGAGUCUUAAUAGGGCGUUUAGUUGCUGGGUAUAGACCCGAAACCAGGCGAUCUAUCCAUGAGCAGGUUGAAGGUUGGGUAACACUAACUGGAGGACCGAACCCACUGUCGUUGAAAAGCCAGGGGAUGACUUGUGGAUAGGGGUGAAAGGCUAAUCAAGCCUGGUGAUAGCUGGUUCUCCCCGAAAGCUAUUUAGGUAGCGCCUCGGACGAAUACCAUAGGGGGUAGAGCACUGUUUCGGCUAGGGGGUCAUCCCGACUUACCAAACCGAUGCAAACUCCGAAUACCUAUGAGUACUAUCCGGGAGACAGACUGCGGGUGCUAACGUCCGUAGUCAAGAGGAAAACAAUCCAGACCGCCAGCUAAGGCCCCAAAAUCAUAGUUAAGUGGGAAACGAUGUGGGAAGGCAUAGACAGCUAGGAGGUUGGCUUANNNNNNNNNNNNNNNNNNGAAGCAGCCACCCUUUAAAGAAAGCGUAAUAGCUCACUAGUCGAGUCGGCCUGCGCGGAAGAUGUAACGGGGCUAAAACUAUGUGCCGAAGCUGCGGAUGUAUACUUUGUAUACGUGGUAGGGGAGCGUUCUGUAAGCCGAUGAAGGUGUGUUGAGAAGCAUGCUGGAGGUAUCAGAAGUGCGAAUGCUGACGUGAGUAACGACAAAACGGGUGAAAAACCCGUUCGCCGAAAGACCAAGGGUUCCAGUCCAACGUUAA
rnacentral:rRNA from 1 species